AAUAUCAGGAGCGAAACAGACAAGAGUGACUUGGCAUAUCUGGUUGAUGGCCAAAGAGUGUGGAUUGGACUUCACAACAGAUGGCGGUGGUCAGAUGGAAGUAUAUUCACCUUACACACUGAUGCACUCCCAGGGAUCAUCAGUAUGAGCGAUCGGAAUAAAUGCGUAUUUCUGAAUGUUUCACAGAGUCUCGUGUUUAACAACUGCAGUCUUCAACAACCUUUUUAUUGUCACAAAGUUUUGAAGCAAACAAGGAGACUGAUGGUGAAGAUCAGGAUUGGGAUGAAUAGUCCUUACGGCUUGGAGGACAGCACUAAUCUUCAUCAGGUCAUCCUCAAGCAGAUACACCAAGAGUUCUCCAAACAGGCUCCUCAGCAGAAUUUCACCCUGAUGUGGAAGAAGGAACUAACAGAAGAGUGAGGAGAAGGCAGGGAUACAGAUUUAACCACGACACAAUCCCAGCAUGGAUGCGUUGCCUAGUAACCAUUGUUCAUCAUUAGCAUUGACAACUUUUUGAACACCACACUCUUUCCACGAGAACUUCUUUUUUUGUGUGCGUAGACUGGAUAGCUAAUAAAAGCUAGAGGUUUUGGAGUGCGGACUUCUUUUCAAUAACAUUAGCCAUGUCCUAUUUUAUAUAACUUGCCAUGCCAAACUGCCUCCUGCAUCAUACAUAGUCUAUUUCUUUGUUCAAAACUUGAGCAACAUUUCCAUCUGAUUUUAAUUUAAGACUUAAGAGUUGUGUGUCUCUUUGGACUGUAAGUUCAUAUUAGUAGUGGUUGUAUAAUGUUUUCUUCCUUUGACCAUGUAUGGCCUAUGAAAUUUGACUGUACUUCAUUCUGGUUCGGA